rnacentral:hammerhead_ribozyme from 1 species
AGUCGAAACGGAGCACCGGCUCCGUCAUGCAGGGAUAGCCUCCUGCAUCUGAUGAUGACAGGCUAUA